CCCGUUAGGAAAAAAGGCUUAUCCCGUUUCCCAAUACGCAAUUUUAGCCGAAUCGUGACGCAAAACACGGCUUGUCUCGAAUCCCGCUAAAAUAAGGGUGUCUAUCCCGAAUCCCGACAGUUAUUUUCGGCCCAUCCCAGUGUCCCGAAAAUACCCGUUCUCCCCCUCAUACAUAGUAGACCAUAUUGUCACAUUGAUGUUUUCUUUCAUUACAGUUAGACUUCGAGAUCUACAUUUUCGACAAAGGCCUGGUGUAAUAUUAUUACGUACUUGAUGAAGGUUUAAUGACACGAAUGAGUACAAGUACAUUACAUUUUUCGACGAAGGCCUUCUGUAAUUUCAUACGCUUCUUACGUUAGACUUCGAGAUCUACAUUUUCGACAAAGGCCUGGUGUAAUAUUACGUACUUGAUGAAGGUUUAAUGACACGAAUGAGUACAAGUACAUUACAUUUUUCGACGAAGGCCUUCUGUAAUUUCAUACGCUUCUUAUGCAACAUUCAAUAGAUUUAUUUACUGUAUUAUCAUUUCGACCAAGGCGAAUUCGACACUUCAAUUACACAAGGUUAGUAACUUUUGUUCACAAAAUCCAAAUGGAGGCAAAUACAGAACAAUCAAACUUAGUCAUUCCAGUCAGUUACUGAAGCACAGUGAAAACUGUCGGGAGCAGUGCAACUGAUGGCAUGUCAAACUUCCAGUGACUGUCCCUGUCCAUAUAUUUCAAGACAGUACAAAUCUUGUAUUCAUUUUGUUUAUGCAAUGUACGUUAUUAUGUAUCAUUUCAGCACAAUCAAACUUAGUCAUUCCAGUCAGUUACUGAAGCACAGCGAAAACUGUCUGAAUUAGUGCUGCUGAUGGCAUGUAAUUACUCUACUACCACUACCAGUGACAGUCAAUGUCCAUAUAUUUUCAAGUGUGCGAAAUUAGUACUCGUCUACUUCUUAGUGUUGAAUGCAAUGUAUGUUAUAAAAAUAUUUUUUCAACACUAUAUCAACAUUCUCAUUCCUGUCAGUUUCUGAAAAUCAGCUAAAGCAAUCGCUACCAAUGCAGCUGAUAACAGCAAUUCUUUUUGUUCCCAAUGCCCAUCCAUGACAAUAUAUUUCACGCAUGUGACAAUCAUGGUAUCAUCCUGUUUUUUGUGUUCUAUUCAUGCAAUAAAUAAAUUCAGUAUUUUCAAAUCAUUGGUGCUACAAAACUAUUCUCAUUAUAGAUUAUUCAUAUUUUAUAAAAUGCUGUCAUGUCAAAUUUUGUGUCCUAUAAAUCAUUAUGAAGUCGGCAUUUUAUAUACAACUUUUGUACUCCUAAAUAAACAUACAAAUCUUGUUUUAUGUAAACUUUGUAUAUGUGACCCGUCACAGCAAAACCAGGCGCAUGUCGCUCUGAGCUUGGCAGGUUGAGACGGACUGUUUGUUCAUUUAUCUAUUGUCUGCCUUUUGUAAAAUAUGAGCACAUCAAUUUCUUCCAUUAUCUCCUGGUGUCAUUUAGGCUCCUCUUCUGUGCGACAUGUACCUGGUUUUGCUGUGACGGGUCACAUAUUCUAUAGAUAUACAACACUCUAAUGUCACAAUGCCUCUCUCACUCGCUUUUAUAGAGCAAGAUGUAUGAAUAAACAUGACACACCAACUAUGUACAAAAUUGCUAACAAACUGCACCAUUUGUCAGUACACCACAUGAAAUACAGAGAUAUGUCUUAAUUCUAAUCUUUCAUUAGCGACACCAUUUCUUACCCGAGUGCCUCCUUCAUUCAUACAUCUUGUACUUUAACUCGAGAUACCCAUCUUUGAAUAUUUUUAGUAUACCAAGUACUACAAUGUCAAUGUAUUGAAGUCAUGUUCUUGUAGUGUUAUUGGCUUUCUAUUAUCUUGUCAAAAUACCACUUGGUUCUCGCAAAAUCUCAAUGAAAACAAAUGCUAUUGCAUGUAUUGCAUAUUCUAACAGCUAUCCACUGUAUCGAUUUAUCCAUCAUCUGUACUAUUUGUCACAAAAAUGUUAUAUUAUGUAAAUCAUAUUUCAUUACAUAAUGCACACUGCCAAUUACUGCUGAACCAUUCAUAUGUCAUUUAAAUAAAUAAUUUUCAACUUUUUAAAACCGUCUUAUAGUACUGUUCUUGUCACUUAGCUGAACCUAUUGCUCUAUAGCAUGAAAUUUCCAGAAAUGCCCCAGGGA